UAAAUAUCUGUAGAACUUAUGAGCACAGUGUCUUACUCCCUUCUAAUGCUGGUCCAUGUAGAAGAUUGUAUCAAUUCCACUUUUAGCUCAAGUGUGGUGCAUCUAAAGGCUCCAGACUGCUGAUUGUCCUUUGAUGGAUCAAGUCAGGUGAGGACUUCAUCUCCAAAAUCCAGGAGUGAACAAUUUCCUUGGAGGAAAGAAAAGACUUGACACAGAUGGGACACACCAUGGUUAAAUUGGAGAGCUUUGGCUUUGCUUCCUGUGCACUGCCUGAGACCAGUUUCUCACCGGAGACAUAGUUUGGCACAGCAGUGCAGUAAAAAAGGCAUCAUGAUAGAUUCCCCAUGACGUAAAUUAGAGUGCUGCAGUCCAAUCACAUCCCCAUCAAGGUCCUCAAAUGAAACCUCCUACUGAGAUAGGAGCUAUUGGAUUUCCAUCUGUAUGUAUCUUGC